GUCAGGUGUGGUGGUGCACACCUGUAGUCCCAGCUACUCGGGAGGCUGAGGCAGAAGAAUUGCUUGAACCUGGGAGUCGGAGGUUGCAGUGAGCCAAGAUCACGCCACUGCACUCCAGCCUGGGUGACAGAGCGAGACUCUGUCUCAA
rnacentral:SRP_RNA from 2 species